rnacentral:lncRNA from 10 species
CCGCAAAGUGGGCUGGGAUCUGUGAGCCCAGAAAAGCAACGUUCCACCAAAGUCAAGGGAGGCUGGAAUGUCAAAUUGGAGGUGUCUAGGAGUGUCAAAUAUUGCAGAAGGUGUUAAAAAGGACCGAAAAGUGUCUGCUGAGAUUUGCUAUCCAGAAGCACAGCUCAAAAUGGCCUCUGCAGAAUAAAUGGAAUGAGCUAGGUGUGGAACUCCAGGCACAGCGGUCAAUUAAGGGCUGUUCAUUAACAUUUCAAGCACUGCAGAUAGGGCAUCAGGUGCAGCAUAUCCACAGAAUUAAAAUGAAAUUUUCUUCUUAUCAUUAUUAUUAUUCAAGAUUUUUUGAAGAAACACGGUGAUGACCCCAGCCCUGAGGAUCUCACUAAUAUUUUAUUGUUCUUACAUGUCACCAGGAGACUCACGCAAGCAAUCUCACAAAAAGCAAUUCAUAACAAUGGAAACUGCCCCCAG